GUGACUAUCAACGAAGUAACCAGAGACAUCAUGAAGUAUCAAAUUAUUGUCUUACUUUUAGCUGCGAUGCUGCUGUUCGUAUCUUGUGAAGGAGAUGAACAAGAAACAGAACAAGGAUCAGAAGGUGAAGGUGAAGGUGAAGCUGAAGAGAGUGGAAAGGGAAAAGGAAGUAAAUGCAAUCAUAAAAAA